AGUAACACGUGGAUAACCUACCUAUAAGACUGGGAUAACUUCGGGAAACCGGAGCUAAUACCGGAUAAUAUUUUGAACCGCAUGGUUCAAAAGUGAAAGACGGUCUUGCUGUCACUUAUAGAUGGAUCCGCGCUGCAUUAGCUAGUUGGUAAGGUAGCGGCUUACCAAGGCAACGAUGCAUAGCCGACCUGAGAGGGUGAUCGGCCACACUGGAACUGAGACACGGUCCAG
rnacentral:rRNA from 1 species